rnacentral:rRNA from 1 species
GCUUGUCUCAAAGAUUAAGCCAUGCAUGUCUAAGUAUAAACAAAUCUAUACUGUGAAACUGCGAAUGGCUCAUUAUAUCAGUUAUAGUUUAUUUGAUGGUUCUUGCUACUUGGAUAACCGUAGUAAUUCUAGAGCUAAUACAUGCAUCAAACCCCGACUUCUGGAAGGGGUGUAUUUAUUAGAUGGAAACCAAUGCGGGGUAACCCGGAAUAUGGUGAUUCAUAAUAACUUUCGGAUCGAUUUAUCGAUGCAUCAUUCAAGUUUCUGCCCUAUCAGCUUUGGAUGGUAGGGUAUUGGCCUACCGUGGCAAUGACGGGUAACGGAGAAUUAGGGUUCGAUUCCGGAGAGGGAGCCUGAGAAACGGCUACCACAUCUAAGGAAGGCAGCAGG